rnacentral:rRNA from 1 species
CGCUGGCGGCGUGCUUAACACAUGCAAGUCGAACGGAAGGGUCUCUUCGGAGAUGCUUGAGUGGCGAACGGGUGAGUAGCACGUGGGUGAUCUGCCCUGCACUCUGGGAUAAGCCUGGGAAACUGGGUCUAAUACCGGAUAGGACCGCACGCUGCAUGGUGUGUGGUGGAAAGCUUUUGCGGUGUGGGAUGGGCCCGCGGCCUAUCAGCUUGUUGGUGGGGUGAUGGCCUACCAAGGCGACGACGGGUAGCCGGCCUGAGAGGGUGUCCGGCCACACUGGGACUGAGAUACGGCCCAGACUCCUACGGGAGGCAGCAGUGGGGAAUAUUGCACAAUGGGCGCAAGCCUGAUGCAGCGACGCCGCGUGGGGGAUGACGGCCUUCGGGUUGUAAACCUCUUUCACCAUCGACGAAGCCGUAAGGUGACGGUAGGUGGAGAAGAAGCACCGGCCAACUACGUGCCAGCAGCCGCGGUAAUACGUAGGGUGCGAGCGUUGUCCGGAAUUACUGGGCGUAAAGGGCUUGUAGGUGGUUUGUCGCGUUGUUCGUGAAAUGCCACAGCUUAACUGUGGGCGUGCGGGCGAUACGGGCAGACUGGAGUACUGCAGGGGAGACUGGAAUUCCUGGUGUAGCGGUGGAAUGCGCAGAUAUCAGGAGGAACACCGGUGGCGAAGGCGGGUCUCUGGGCAGUAACUGACGCUGAGAAGCGAAAGCGUGGGGAGCGAACAGGAUUAGAUACCCUGGUAGUCCACGCCGUAAACGGUGGGUACUAGGUGUGGGUUUCCUUCCUUGGGAUCCGUGCCGUAGCUAACGCAUUAAGUACCCCGCCUGGGGAGUACGGCCGCAAGGCUAAAACUCAAAGGAAUUGACGGGGGCCCGCACAAGCGGCGGAGCAUGUGGAUUAAUUCGAUGCAACGCGAAGAACCUUACCUGGGUUUGACAUGCACAGGACGCUGGUAGAGAUAUCAGUUCCCUUGUGGCCUGUGUGCAGGUGGUGCAUGGCUGUCGUCAGCUCGUGUCGUGAGAUGUUGGGUUAAGUCCCGCAACGAGCGCAACCCUUGUCUCAUGUUGCCAGCGCGUGAUGGCGGGGACUCGUGAGAGACUGCCGGGGUCAACUCGGAGGAAGGUGGGGAUGACGUCAAGUCAUCAUGCCCCUUAUGUCCAGGGCUUCACACAUGCUACAAUGGCCGGUACAAAGGGCUGCGAUGCCGUGAGGUUAAGCGAAUCCUAGAAAAGCCGGUCUCAGUUCGGAUCGGGGUCUGCAACUCGACCCCGUGAAGUCGGAGUCGCUAGUAAUCGCAGAUCAGCAACGCUGCGGUGAAUACGUUCCCGGGCCUUGUACACACCGCCCGUCACGUCAUGAAAGUCGGUAACACCCGAAGCCAGUGGCCUAACCCGUUGGGAGGGAGCUGUCGAAGGUGGGAUCGGC